UUCUAUAAGAUAUAAUUAAUAGUAUGAUCUGCUCAAUGAUUAAUUCAAUAGCCGCAAAUAUUUUGUGCUAAGGUAGCAUAAUCACUCGUUUUUUAAUUGAAAACUAGAACAAAAGAUUAAACAUUUUAAUUAAUCUUUUAAUAUUAUAAUUAAAAUUUAUUCUAAAUGUAAAAAAACAUUUAUAUUAAAGAAAGACGAUAAGACCCUAUUGAACUUAACUUUAGUUAAACUGGGGCAGUAAAAUAAUUAAUACUUUUAUUUAAAUAUUUUCAUCAAAGACCUAUUUUAAAUAAAUAUAUAAUCAAGUUACCACAGGGAUAACAGCGUAAUAAUUAUUUCAAGCUCUUAUAUAAUUAAUAGAUUGCGACCUCGAUGUUGAAUAAUAACCUCCACUUUAAUGUAAAAGUUAUGAUAGGAAGUCUGUUCGACUUUUAAACAAUUACA
rnacentral:rRNA from 1 species